GUGGGGAAUCUUGCGCAAUGGGCGAAAGCCUGACGCAGCCAUGCCGCGUGGAUGAUGAAGGUCUUAGGAUUGUAAAAUCCUUUGACCGGUGAAGAUAAUGACUGUAGACGGAGAAGAAGCCCCGGCUAACUUCGUGCCAGCAGCCGCGGUAAUACGAAGGGGGCUAGCGUUGCUCGGAAUUACUGGGCGUAAAGGGCGCGUAGGCGGACAGCUUAGUCAGAGGUGAAAGCCCAGGGCUCAACCUUGGAAUUGCCUUUGAUACUGGCUGUCUUGAGUUUGGGAGAGGUGAGUGGUACUCCGAGUGUAGAGGUGAAAUUCGUAGAUAUUCGGAAGAACACCAGUGGCGAAGGCGACUCACUGGCCCAAUACUGACGCUGAGGCGCGAAAGCGUGGGGAGCAAACAGGAUUAGAUACCCUAGUAGUCC
rnacentral:rRNA from 1 species